GGGUUGUGAGGUUAAGCGACUAAGCGUACACGGUGGAUGCCCUGGCAGUCAGAGGCGAUGAAGGACGUGCUAAUCUGCGAUAAGCGUCGGUAAGGUGAUAUGAACCGUUAUAACCGGCGAUUUCCGAAUGGGGAAACCCAGUGUGUUUCGACACACUAUCAUUAACUGAAUCCAUAGGUUAAUGAGGCGAACCGGGGGAACUGAAACAUCUAAGUACCCCGAGGAAAAGAAAUCAACCGAGAUUCCCCCAGUAGCGGCGAGC
rnacentral:rRNA from 1 species